UACGUAGGGUGCAAGCGUUAAUCGGAAUUACUGGGCGUAAAGCGUGCGCAGGCGGUUAUGCAAGACAGAGGUGAAAUCCCCGGGCUCAACCUGGGAACUGCCUUCGUGACUGCAUAGCUAGAGUACGGUAGAGGGGGAUGGAAUUCCGCGUGUAGCAGUGAAAUGCGUAGAUAUGCGGAGGAACACCGAUGGCGAAGGCAAUCCCCUGGACCUGUACUGACGCUCAUGCACGAAAGCGUGGGGAGCAAACAGG
rnacentral:rRNA from 1 species